rnacentral:RNase_P_RNA from 1 species
GCACGAUAGCCAAGACAUGGCGGGGGGCCCACACCCCCGAGGAAAGUCCGGACUGCUUGGGACAACACACCGGCUAAUAUACCGGGCGGGGCGACCCGACGAUAAGAGCAACAGUGACGAAACGAUUAAAUUCGAGUGAAACGGGCAAUCUCUGUGUGCAGCAACCCCAAAUAGGUCACCGAUACGUGUCCCACGCUGGUGACGGGUAGGGGGCUUGACGAAUGUGGCAACACAUUUCGCAGAUUAAUCAUGUCUGCUACCAUUACCUGGGGUAUGAAAAACCACUGGGUUAUGGCAGAACAGAAUCCGGCUUAUCGGCUAUCUGCACCA